GACGAACGCUGGCGGCGUGCUUAACACAUGCAAGUCGAGCGAGGCCCACCUCGGUGGUGUCCUAGCGGCGAACGGGUGAAUAACACGUGGGCAACCUGCCCUCAGCACUGGGAUAACCCGGAAACCGGGCUAAUACCGGAUACGACCACAGGCGGCAUCUUCUUCGUGGUGGAAACGAUUUAUCGGCUGAGGAGUGGGCCCGCGGCCUAUCAGCUUGUUGGUGGGGUAACUGCCUACCAAGGCAACGACGGGUAGCCGG
rnacentral:rRNA from 1 species